GACAGAUGACCCUUGGUUUUAGUUUCAGGCUAUAGUUCUUGGACCUAAGUGCUGGUGGCUGUGAUCACCUAUGGCAGAUUCAUUUAAGCAAAGGUAGAAAAGGGAGAGACAACAGUAUGGAUGACAGAAUUCUUUAAAUCCAUAUGCAUUACUUUUCUCUUCAGUUAGCAGGAAGAACUCAGAGACUGUCUUGUGUUCGUCUGACUCCUGGGAUCACUGGUACCAAUUGAUGUCCCUGUUGCCUUUACCCUCUCAGGAACACAAAAGGCAGUGGCAAUAUCUUCAAUUAGCAUCUAUUUCAGCUUCUGAAGAACAGCAUCUGUUUCCACCCAAACAGCUGAAAAUGUAGCCCACACCAAGACUGGAUUCUACAUAUGCAGAAAGCCUAAUUUCUGUGGAUCUCAAAAAGAAAUUGUGAUCUUUGGCAACCUGAAGUUAUCAGAUCUGAAUAUAGCACCAUCAUCCUUGGCUGUAAGAAUUUAAAGCUUGAUCUAGUGUUCCCUGAAGCCAGUGGGAAGACUGUUAUUGUCUUUGGCUUCCUUUGGAUCACACCAGAAGCUCACAGUCUGAUUCUGCAAGCUACAAAAUGUAAAGCGCUCCAGUAGCACCUUUUGUUCCCUGUGAAGACUGGUCAAGCUUAGAAAGUAAGAGAGAAAUGACAAA